rnacentral:lncRNA from 1 species
CACUAUAGCUGUGUUGGAGUGAUAUAGGUCCAACAGAGAGGACAGGACACUAUACUGCUGUGUGGAGUGAUAUUAUGUGCCAACAGAAAGUACAGGACACUAACUGCUGUGUGGAGUGAUAUUAGUGCCAACAAGAGAGGGACAGGACCUAUACUGCUGUGUGUGGAUGAUAUAUUAGUGCCAACAGAGAGGACAGGACACUAUAUCUACUUGCGGUGUGGAGUGGAUAUUUGUGCCAACAGAGAGGACAGGACACAAAACUGCUGUGUGGAGUGAUAUUAGUGCCAACAGAAGGACGGACACUAAACUGCUGUGUGGAGUGAUAUAUAGGCCAACAGAGAGGACAGGACACAUACUGCUGUGUGGAGGUGAUAUUAGUGCCAACAGAGAGACAGGACACAUACUGCUGUGUGGAGUGAUAUUAGUGCCAACAGAGAUGACAGGACACUAUACUGCUGUGUGGAGUGAUAUUAGUGCCAACAGAGAGGACAGGACACUAUACUGCUGUGUGGAGUGAUAUUAGUGCCAACAGAGAGGAAAUCAGGAAUUGCUGCACUUAUUAUUGUUAAAGCAUCUCAACAAUGAUGAUGACUAGGACCAGGAGUUUUUCCUGACCUCACAACCGACCUGAGCAAGAAAAACUCUGGACCCUAUAAUUACCUGACCGUGUGGUAUAACUAGGAUAAACUCUUGACCCUAUAAUUACCUGACCGUGUGGUAUAACUAGGAUAAACUCUGGACCCUAUAAUUACCUGACCGUGUGGUAUAACUAGGAUAAACUCUGGGUCCUAGUUAUAUAGCCUUGGUCAGAUCAUGUGGUAUGGAUCAGGAAAAACUCCUGGUCCUCUUUGAGGAUUAAUAUGAGACUUUACAGGGACCUUAAUAAGGUUGUGGUGAAACUGUCUGAAUCGAAUGACCUGACAUUGAAUACCUACCUUAAAAUUACUGACUGACUGAAAUUCAAAGUUGAGAGAAGGCAUUGCAUGUGUAAAUGUUUGAUGUGCCCCUACUUCAUCUAACUGUCUAUUCUAAAUCAUUAAACUACUCUUGUCCA